GCCAUCACAGAGUCCAGGACGAGCUCACCAAAAACCUCCUCUUCACAUCCAGAUCAUCAACACUCUCUUCAUCUCAUCUCAUCCUCAUCACCUCUACCACCGCCAGUCUCUACAACCUGAGGAGGGUUCCCUUUUUUUUUUUUUUUACAAUGGAUUCAUCCAGCCAUCCAUUUUCUAACCGCUUAUCCUCUUGAGGGUCGCGGGGGCUGGAGCCUAUCCCAGCUGACACUGGGUGAGAGGCGGGGUUCACCCUGGACAGGUCACCAGACUAUCACAGGACGGACACAUAGAGACAGACAACCAUUCACACUCACAUUCACACCUACGGACAAUUUAGAGUUAUCAAUUAGGGGCCGUUUAUACGACAACGAUUUCAGUAAAAAUGGAAAAGUCUGUCCUUUGCGUUUUAAAAAACUUCUGCGUUUAUAUGACGACGUUAUUGAAACGAUCCCCGUUCACACGGAGCCGCAAAAUCUACUGGAAACGCUGUAGUAUGCACGCCAGGCCAAUGGGUGGCAGUGUAAAUUUGCAAAGCAACACCACGGCAUGACGCCAUGCGCCUGCGCUGAAGCGCCUUCCUCUACAACGCGGUGAUUACAAACCAAAACAAAGAAGACACAAUGGUGAAAGCAUGCACAGAUAACUUUGUCUGGAUGGACGACGAGGUGGAGUUGCUACAGUAACAGAUCUACACUUCACUUCAAAUCAACAGGAUUCUGCACAGCCACAUAGGACUCGUCCUGCUGUUGCUCCAGAUCCCACAUUUGCUGCACAUGUGCUGCAAAGAGGCAAAAACAUACAUAAGACCAGUGAUGGAGGAAGUAUUCAGAUCCUUUACUGAGAUGGUGCUGAUGUUUCUUUCCUGAGGUCAGCAGAGGUCUCAGUCAGCGGCCUUUGGCAGGAAGUUCAUCAAAACAAAGAUGGAAGCCAUCAGCGCUGUUGGCGUUUAAAUCAAAUGUCUGGACAGACACUUCUGUUAACACAGAAGGAAAGAAGGACUUGGAUAUGACAGAUGUGAUUUACAGCAGUGUCAUAUGAGAAUAAAAUACUCUGGGAACACUACGAACAUGAGGGCUCAUCUCACACGUCACCAUCCAGAGAUAGUCAGCACGUUUACAUGCAUGCAGUAGUCGAGCUAAGCUCAGUCAAGUCAGACUUCUAGUCUUGUCUGAGUAUACGAUAGGCGGCGCUGUGUCCUUUUUAAUACAGUGCGUAUUGAUCUAGUUCCGGUUCUUGUUCAGAAACUUUUAAAAUAAAUCCGUGUUUCGUGUUUUCCGACCAUCCAUAAACUUCACAAUGUUUAGCUCCUUUAGUUGUCGGAGCGUGAAUGUAGUUUCCUCGUCCGUCCAGAAGUGCAUCUUCUGCUUCUUGGAGUUACUGAACUGCUGCUACAUCAUCUCCUCCUUCUUCUGGAUGAAAGCCCACGAAAGAAAAAGUGGUGCUUACUAAGUGGAUACCUGCAGCAAUAGUUCAAUUUUCAAUCAAAUUAUCUAGGUGUGUUAGUCGAGCUACGGAUAGUCCAAUUUCAGUCGGACUAAGCCAAUAAUUUGAUUUUCUCAAGCUGCAUGUAAACGUACUGACUGUUAGCCUCUGACGGCCAAGCUCUGCU